rnacentral:rRNA from 1 species
CUCUAUUGCCAUGCCACCCUGAAUGUGCUCAAAUUUGUCUGAUCUCAGAAGCUAAGCAGGGUCAGGCCUGGUUAGUACUUGGAUGGGAGACCACCUAGGAAGACCAGGUGCUGUAGGCG